rnacentral:rRNA from 1 species
GACACCAGUUGAUCCUGCUGGAGGAUACUGCUAUCGGAUUUCGACUAAGCCAUGCAAGUCUAGUGACUCGACUUCGAGUCACGGCGAAUGGCUCAGUAACACGUAGUCAAUCUGCCUUUCGGACGGGGAUAACCUUGAGAAAUUGAGGGUAAAACCCGAUAGGACAAGAAAUCUGGAAUUGAUUCUUGUCCCAAUAGAUCAACAAAUUGUAGUUGAAUCGCCGAAAGAUGAGACUGCGGCUGAUUAGGCUGUUGGCGAGGUAACGGCUCACCAAACCAUUGAUCAGUACGGGCUAUGUGAGUAGAUGCCCGGAGACGGACACUGAGACAAGGGUCCGAGCCCUACGGGGUGCAGCAGGCGCGAAACUUCCACAAUGCGCGAAAGCGUGAUGGGGGGAAUCCGAGUGCAGCUCGAAAGAGUUGCUUUUGUUCGGCUUGAAUAGCCGGACGAAUAAGUUCUGGGUAAGUCCUGUGCCAGCCGCCGCGGUAACACAGGCAGAACAAGUGGUAUCCACGAAUAUUGAGCUUAAAGCGUCCGUAGCCGGCUUAGCAAAUUUUCUGUGAAAUCUAUCGGCUUAACCGAUAGGCGUGCAGGAAACACUACUAGGCUGGAGAGUGGGGGAGGUCAAAGGUACUCUAGGGGGAGGAGUAAAAUCCUGUAAUCCUUAGAGGACCAUCUGUGGCGAAGGCGUUUGACCAAAACACAUCUGACGGUGAGGGACGAAGGCUAGGGGAGCGAAUCGGAUUAGAUACCCGAGUAGUCCUAGCAGUAAAUUAUGCAGACUGGGCGUUGCAAUAACUUCGUGUUGUUGCAGUGCCGUAGGGAAACUGUUUAGUCUGCCGCUUGGGGAGUACGAUCGCAAGAUUGAAACUUAAAGGAAUUGGCGGGGGAGCACCACAAGGGGUGGAUGCUGCGGUUCAAUUGGACUCAACGCCGGGAAGCUCACCCAGAGAGACAGCAGUAUGAAGCCCAAGCUAAAGACUUUGGCUAACGAGCUGAGAAGUGUUGCAUGGCCAGCGUCAGUUCGUGCCGUGAGGUGUCAAGUUAAGUCUUGCAACGAACGAGAUCUCUAUCUACUGUUGCUAGUUGGAGAGAAAUUUUUAACGCACUCUGUAGAGACUGCCUACGUUAAGUAGGAGGAAGGAAGAGGCGACGCUAGGUCUGUAUGGCCUGAAUCUCUGGGGCCACACGUGGCAUACAAUGACGGAGACAAUGAGUCCCGACACCGAAAGGUGAAGGCAAUCUCCUAAACUCCGUCCCAGUACAGAUUGGGGGCUGAAACUCGUCCCCAUGAAGUUGGAAUCCCUAGUAAUCGCGUGUCAUCAUCGCGCGGUGAAUAUGUCCCCGCUCCUUGCACACACCGCCCGUCAAGCCAUCCAAGCGAGGUCUUAGUGAGGCUUCUCCUUCGGGGGAAUUCGAGCUAGGGCUUCGUGAGGGGGGUUAAGUCGUAACAAGGUAACCGUAGGGGAACCUGCGGUUAGAUCACCUCCAAU